CUAACGUGGACCCGUAAUCCGGGUUGCGGACAGUGUCUGGUGGGUAGUUUGACUGGGGCGGUCUCCUCCUAAAGAGUAACGGAGGAGCACGAAGGUUGGCUAAUCCUGGUCGGACAUCAGGAGGUUAGUGCAAUGGCAUAAGCCAGCUUGACUGCGAGCGUGACGGCGCGAGCAGGUGCGAAAGCAGGUCAUAGUGAUCCGGUGGUUCUGAAUGGAAGGGCCAUCGCUCAACGGAUAAAAGGUACUCCGGGGAUAACAGGCUGAUACCGCCCAAGAGUUCAUAUCGACGGCGGUGUUUGGCACCUCGAUGUCGGCUCAUCACAUCCUGGGGCUGAAGUAGGUCCCAAGGGUAUGGCUGUUCGCCAUUUAAAGUGGUACGCGAGCUGGGUUUAGAACGUCGUGAGACAGUUCGGUCCCUAUCUGCCGUGGGCGCUGGAGAACUGAGGGGGGCUGCUCCUAGUACGAGAGGACCGGAGUGGACGCAUCACUGGUGUUCGGGUUGUCAUGCCAAUGGCACUGCCCGGUAGCUAAAUGCGGAAGAGAUAAGUGCUGAAAGC
rnacentral:rRNA from 1 species